GACUCGGCGAACUGCUCAGUAAUAUGUGGCCAACCUACCCUAUACUCAGGGAUAAUUGCGGGAAACUGCAGCUAAUACCUGAUGGGUGUUCUGUUCUGGAAUGAUAGAACAUUGAAAGGUGACGGUAUAGGAUGGGGCCACAUCUUAUCAGUCUGUUGGGGGUGUAACGGACCCCCAAAGCUAUAACGGGUACGGGCCAUGAGAGUGGGAGCCCGGAGAUGGAUUCUGAGACAUGAAUCCAGGUCCUACGGGACGCAGCAGUUACGAAAACUUCGCAAUGCUCUAACGAGCGGCGAGGGAACCCGGAUUGUUCAUGCUCUGCAUGAACUUUUGCCAACUGCAAACAGGUUGGAGAAUAAGGGGUGGGUAAGACGAGUGCCAGCCGCCGCGGUAAUACUCGCGCCCCAAGUGGUAUCCGCAAUUAGUGGGUCUAAAGCGUCCGUAGCCGGUUUGAUAAGUCCUUAGUGGAAUCCUUCGGUAAACUGAAGGGCUUGCUGGGGAUACUAUUAGACUUGGGACUGGGAGAGGGUAGACGUACUCCCAGGGGAGGGGUAAAAUCCUAUAAUCCUGGGGGGACGACCUGUGGCGAAGGCUUCUACCUAGAACAGGUUCGACGGUGAGGGACGAAACCUAGGGGAGCGAUUGGGAUUAGAUA
rnacentral:rRNA from 1 species